rnacentral:rRNA from 1 species
GACGAACGCUGGCGGCGUGCUUAACACAUGCAAGUCGAGCGGUAAGGCCCUUUCGGGGGUACACGAGCGGCGAACGGGUGAGUAACACGUGGGCGACCUGCCCUCAGCUCUGGGAUAAGCCUGGGAAACUGGGUCUAAUACCGGAUACGACUUUUCCUCGCAUGGGGGAUUGUGGAAAGUCCUGGGCUUUUGUCUGGGUUCGGCUGGGGAUGGGCCCGCGGCCUAUCAGCUUGUUGGUGGGGUGAUGGCCUACCAAGGCGACGACGGGUAGCCGGCC